rnacentral:lncRNA from 1 species
UUUGAAAUGACAGAAAAUACGCAAAAUUACAAGUCUAUUGACAUGAUUUUCAGGAGAUUAAUAUACUAAAAAUGACAAAGUAAAAAGAAAUAAUGCAAAAAAAAUUAGUUAAUACUCCCUAUAAACAUGAUUCCUAGGUGAUUUAAUAAUCAACACAUUUAAAUAACACCUAUAUGCAUAAUUUCUAACUCCUAAUGACAUAUGAAUGCAUACAUUCUAUAAACAUAAUUUAUUCGAUGAAUAGCUUUAUACAAAAUGUUUAUAAUUUAUUUUUUCUUAACAUUUUUAGAAAUUAGCCAAAACUCAUUACUUAAUAUUCCAAAUUGAAUAAAAAUAUGACUUUAAUCAUUAAUUGGGCAAAAACUCAAUGACUGAGCGAAGAUGAUUUGCUUUUUUUUAUGUUUAGAUCUAAAAAUACUUUAUCACAUAAAAUUUUUAUCAAAAUAAGAUUACGAACCUAUAGGCAUGCUUUUCUAACACAAAUAAGUUUUCAAAUAAGAGGCGAUUACUGCAUAAUUCCCCUCCCCUUAGGCGAUCCACCCCAAAUUUAUUUUAUAUAUAUAGGUAGGGUUAGAGAAUUAUACUCAUUGUAACAGAAAUAACGAAUGAAAAUAUACAAAACAUUAAAAUAAAUGAAGCUUCGUCUGAAAUUUCUUCUAGGCCACUCUUCAUCAUCUUAAACUUUAAGUUCAAAACCUGCUAGAAUAGGUAAGCUAUCACAUAUACAAUGGAUAAAUGAUUGUAAUAUAGUAGACUCAUAGUAGCAAAUUACUCUCAUAUAUAUGUAAAUAACACACAAAAAGAAAUAAAGAAUAGUCAUAGUUAUAUUAUCAAACGUAAAAGGAUAGUGAAACUAACUUAGAUGCUUCCUUGUUGUUUCGUUUUUCAACACACAAAUAUUUAUAAUUAUGUAAAUAAAUCAAAUUAAAAUUAAUAAAUAAUACUAACCAAUUAUGCAGAAAAGAUUAUCAACAAUAGAGACAGAGUAAUCCCAAUACAACAAAGUAGCAAAAGCACUUGAAUAUUUGCCGGAAUCUUAACUUAUUUUUAAGAGUAGAGCAAUAUUAUUAGUAUUCAAGUAUGAGAGUGAGUUAAGAAAAAGGUACCACUUAUUUUAGAAGAAUGAGUGAUGAGUUGAGAGAAUGAAUGUGUGCAUGUGCAAUGAGAGAAUGAGAGAACUUUUAACAAGAGUUAGUGUUGAAAUUGAGAGGAGUGAGUCUUAUUAUAUAGCAAAGAGGAGGAGCACAUAAGAAAAUAAAUAAAUUAACGAGUAAAUUAUUAAACUAUUUUCUUAUUUUCGCGGAGGGCCAAAAUCAGAAAAAUAAUUUAAUUAUUUUUUACCAAAUAUAAGCAAGUAAGAAUAAAUUUAAAGAGAGUAAUAUUUAUUUUCCUUAAAUAAAGAGGAGCCAAAAUCAGAUUUUUUAAAAAAAUAUGCCAUUACCAAAAAUAAUUAAGUAAGAAGUAAAAUUAGGAACAAAAAAUAUUUUUCUGAAAUAAAGAAGAGUAAAAAAUUAGAUUUUAUUUUAAUUAUUUUUUAUUAAAAAAAUUGAGAGAUCAAUCAUUUUUCAAGUAAGGAAAAAUGAUCAAUUAAUAUAUUUUACUUAAAUAAUAGCAUUGAAUCAUAUUUUUUUUUAAAAUAUAUUUUACCAAAUUAACCAAGGAAGAGAAAAAAUUUUAUUAGAUAAAGAAGGACCAAAAUUAGAAUUGAUUUAAGGCAAUUUUUCAAACAUAAAGCAAGUAGGAAAUUGGUUUAAGUUCUAAUUAACCAAAGGAAGCAAAUAAGGCUUAAGAGAAGAGAUAAAUUGGGAUCCACUAGUAUGUAUAUCCUUAACAAAUUUACAGUGAAGUCAAUCAAAGUUUACCUUAUAAUCAUCUUAACUAAGGAAAUAAUCAGUUUACGGCUUAACACAAUUAAAGGGACCAAACAUUAGUUCAUCAUUCCUUACUACGAAUGUAGCACCCUUACAUGGAUAUAUUACAACUAACUUCCACAAAUCAUAGACUUAGAGCAGUUUAUUACAAAAUUAAGCUAGCCAAAUGACUAACUUUAACAGGCAUAUUCACCACCAAAUUAGACAAAUGAAAGCAAUUUCAUAUUAGAACACAGAUAGAGAAUCAAUGAGCCACGAAUCUUCAAUCGCAACAGUAUAAUGUCAAGCAAACCUAAAAUUAAUCCAUUCUAGCAUAAAGAGGUUUAAACCCGGAGAACACCAGUAAUCACAAACGGUGACAAACACUAUGACCUCAAAUCAGGAGUUGAAUCCCACAUUUUCAUGUAAUAUACUCUAAGAAAGCAACAAGACGAACAUAGAGAAUGUAAUAGUUUCAUUAAAGAAUGAAAAAAAUGGCUCGACGGAUCUGAAAGAUCCGUUUAUUAUAAAUUGAUUGAUGAUCUCAGCAAACUGUAGCUAAGUCGGUAACUGCUUUCAUCCUCACUUGUUGGAGUUAUUGUUGUCCCCUUCGCCGGAGCUGUUGGUGGCCAUGGAACUCUGCCGAAGUUGCGGCUGUUGCUGAUUUUAGAGAUGAGAGGAAGAGAAUGGAGACGGAGAAGGGGAGGAAGACGAGAGGGAGAAGGGAAGAGGGGGGAAGAAAAAGUGAUACGAAAGGGACAGGAGAAGAGGGAGGAUGGUGGUGGAGAGAGGGAAGGCAGCUUGGUGGUCGGAAAAAGGGGGAGAGAGAGGAGGAACGACGGGAGAGGGAAGAAGAAGAGAGGGGGAGAAAGUGGAGGCGGCUGGAAUGAAGGGAGAGAAGAGAGGGGAAGGCUGCUAGAGAGUGGAGGGAGAAGAGAAUGAAAACUUUUUUAGGAAUUAGAAUCUCUUAGUUAGAAUAGGUAGGUUACAUCUGAACCAUGAGAUUAGUUUAGAUGGACGACUAGUAUUUAAUCUAGGAUUUAUUUUAAAGAUGAACGGAUGAGAUCAAAAGAUGAAGUCUUGAAAUUAGAUUGUGAAAAAUAUGGAAUGACUAAAAUUUUAAUUAAAUUGGCUAGAAUUGAAAUGAAAGAGUGGCUAUGAUUGGAAUAAAAUUUGAAGUGGAGUGGCUAGAACUGGAAAAUCUUAUAAUAAAAUGGGUUAGGAUUUCAAUGAUUUUCAGGAAAAUUUAGUAAUUAAUGUUUAAUUAAAAUGGUAUAUUUUUAAAAUAUUUUUUUAUAUAAUUUAAAAUCACCUAAAUUUUAAUUCAUUAAUGAUUUAAAAAUAUUUUAAUAAUAUUUACAAUAAUUUUAUUAAGUGAACUUAUUAAUAUAAUUUUCAAGCAUAAUCUAUUAAAAUUCUAAACUUUAAAUAAAUUUUUAAAAAUAUGUAUUUAAUCGAAUGUAAUCCUAAAAAUGGUUAAACGUCGGUCAAAAUUGGGUGUCAACAGCUGCCCCUUGGUUAAUUGAGAAUAAAGAAUGAAUUGUCAGGCAACCAAUGUUGACUUAGUAGCUGAUUUUGUCCGACCGACGACAGAUGUCAUUGGAAUCAAUUUAAGCGAGGUAGAGUUGAAAAAAAGGUACGAUCGAGACUUUGGUAUUAAGCUUCCUACAUAUCUCUGGUUAUACAAGAAUUAGGUCGCGUAUAGUUCUAGAUUCAAGAUCAAAUGAAACUCUUCAAUGUUGAAAGAGCGCUAAGGUAUUAAGAGGACAAGAUAUUCGCUUGAAUGGAUAACAUUAGAGUAGCGAGAAGAGAGAGAUUAAGAGGCUAGAAGACCAUGACAGAGAAGCAAGAAGAGCAUGAUAGAGUGAGGUUAUCAGCUUUUGAGCAAGCUUUUGAGAUAGAUGAUAGCAUGAUAAUUGUAAUCAAGGGGCGACCAAUCAUAUCUGCAAAUUCUAGAUAAAAUCUUAGCUUAUAAAUAGAUAAUGUAUGACCAACAAUGAUAAAAUAUGAGUUCUAAAUAAAUUACAAGAGGUGAUAAAAGCGUAUCUGUUUUGAGACGUAGUGCAAGCCUUGAUAGUCUUUGGCUUAACUUCUUGAAGGAUUGAAAUCCAUCUCCGAAGAAUAACGUCAAACUCCAACAAAUUUGAUAAUAUAGCGAUAUAAUAAUAUAGAAGGCAAUGUCUGGUUGUAAACGUCAUUCUAAGGGGGACGAACCUAAGUGUAAUUUUAAGGCUGACGACCUAACUGUCUUAGAAAGAGGACGAACAUAAUCUUAUGAGGCGGACGAGCCUAAAUGUUGUUUUAAAGCAGACGGCCUAAAUGUCCUUUUAAGGCGGACGAGCCUAAGUGUCCUCUUAAGGCGGAUGGGACUAAAUAUCCUAUAAGGAGGACGAGCCUAAAUGUCACGUCGUAAGGCGGACAAGCCUAGAUGUCGCAUUGUAAGGCGGAUGAGACUAGAUGUCGCAUUGUAAGGAGGAUGAGCCUAAAUGUCGUGUUGUAAGGCGGAUGAGUCAAGAUGUCGCAUUAUAAGACGGACGAUCCUAGAAGACCUAUUGUAAUGCGGACGAGUCUUAAUGUCAUUUUGAGGCAGACGAGCCCAACUGAAGAAAAGGUAGGUCACAGUAGCGAGUUGAGUCUGACAAUAUCUCCAUGGUAGUCUGAACGGUAGCUGAGUAGCCGAAUGAUAAUUUGAGUAGCCGAGAAUUUGACAGUGUUUGUUUGUAAGCAUGAAGGUGGUUGUUCAAAAGGCGGUUGAUUUUAUCUGUAAUCUGCAUAUCUGUAACUUGUAAUACAACUUAAUUAUAGUGAUUAGCGGUAAGUGUAAACAUGAUGCAAUUCCCAUGUUGACCAUAAAUGUUUGCCUUAAGACCAUAAAAAAUGACGUCUUAGGCUAUGAUGUCUAGGGCCAUGAUACGCAAAAUGUAUCCUCAGGUCAUGAAAAUGUUGUCUGUAGGCCAUGAAAAUGACGCCUUUAGGCUAUGACACCUUCGGAUCAUGAUAGACAAAAAUCAAACCGUUAGGCCAUGAUAUGAUGUAUGCAGGCCAUGAGGAUGAUGCCUUUUGACUAUGAUGCCUUUGGAAGAUGCUAAGCAUAAAAUAAGUCCUCAAGCCAUGAUAUAAAGUCCGUUGGCCAUGAAAGAUGAUGCCUUUGGAGGAUGACGCCUUUGGAAUAUAUGUAAUGAGUAAAGAGAGUGUAUCUUUUUUUGGAAUCUAUUGAUACUUGUGACUUGAUUUGAUUCGGGCACACGCAAACUUCGAGCACGAUGCAGUUUUGGGCUUAUGCAAAUUUCGGGCACAAUGCAGUCUCGGGCACAAUGCAAUGAUACAUUUCUUCGGGCACAUGGAUUGUUGGCACAUGCAAUGAUGCGUUUCUUUGGGAACAAUGUAAUAUCGGGCACAUGUAAUGAUGCAUUUCUUCUGGCACAUGCAAUAUCGAGCACAUGCAAUGAUGCAUUUCUUCGGGCGCAUGCAAUAUCGAGCACAUGCAAUGAUGCAUUUGUUCGGGCACAUGCAAUUAUGCGUUUUGGAAAUAUCGGGCAUAAUAUAAUGAUGUUGUUCUUCGAGCAUAAUGCGAUAUUGGGCGUAGGUGCAAAUGAUGCAAUAUCGGGCAGAAUGUAAUUUGCCAGCACAACAGUUUCUUGAGGGUGUACAGUAGCUUGGGGGUCCACCUUUUUGGAAGGGUCGAGUGUCAUUUGUCGGGCUCGAAAGUGGUAUGUUGAUUGUUGAAGUUGAAUUUGUAUAUGUACCUAUAUUUUCUGCAUUCAAAGAAAAAUAGUUAGUUUAAAGGGGGGAGGUUGAUUUGUAUCUAUGAUUUGGCACAACUUGCUCCUUUGGUGUCUGAUAGAAUGUUCUUCGGAGUGUUGUCGAAAAUUUUGAGAUCCCCUUAAUAUUUUGGCCCCAGGGUAGAACUUCUAUCAUUUUGAUUUUUUGUAGUUGUAGCUUGACUGUUGAAUUUUUUUUUUGGAGAUUCUCCAAAAAUUUCUAUCCAGUCUUGAUUUUCAGCAAUUUUGAGAUCCCCUCAGAAUUCUACCACAUUUGUUGAGAAGAAAUGCUUUUGAUGGAGUUUUUGAGUUUACUCAAAAAUUUUGCCCAAGUAUGGAGAUGUGCAAGGAGAAAUCUCGAUGUAAUUUUUGUGACCCUCUCAAAGAUUCAGCCCUAGUUAUCAAUAGAAAGGGAAAAUGAAAUUUUUUUUAUUAUAACACCGAACCCCCAUAGGAGCGCCUACGUAUCCCCUCUUAAACGAGAAUCAGGUCUAACGUAGUUCCAAAUUACAAAGAGAGCAUAAGCGAGAUAUUAAUAACAUUCUUGAGCGACAAAUUAAAUGGUAGAUUUUGACCAACUUUAUUUGCCCAUAUGUUAUCAUUGGUGUCUGAAUGUGGAAAAUAUGAACUUAAAUGACGCAAGCCUUACUUAGGAAACUAGAUCAAGUAUACUUUGGUGCGUUCACAUUUGAACUUUCUUUGUUGCAAAGUCCUCCAAACAUAUGGCCUUAGUAUUAGUCAGUUGUUGAAUCUUGUCUUUCAGAUCACAACAUUCUUCUAUUGUAUGUCCUUCCAUUCCUGAAUGAUAAGCACAAACCUUAAAGGGUUCAAUCCACGAUGCAUGUGUAGUCAUCUUUAAUUCAUUGAUAGGAGCGAUGUGACCAGCGAUUCUCAACUUUCCAUAAAGUUGGCCUAUAUGCUCAGUUAGAGGAGUAUAAGUUUUUUCAAGUCUCUCCUCAACCUUGAAGAGAUUUUUGCGGAUAUGCGGUGGAGUGACGACUUUGGCAUUGUGACUAGGAUAUGUAGGCUGUUGAUAUGGACGAGGAGGCCUUUGGUACGGGGACAUUUGAUAUGGAAGGAUUGGAAAUGAUAUGAGAGGCGCAUGAUGCCAAGGAACUUGGUGCAGAGGUGUUUCAUAUCAAGCAACUUGUAUGCCAGAAUUAUGCGGGUACGGAGUUUGGGUUUAGGAGACUAUGUAUGAUGUUGCGGAGGAUAUGGGUGAUUUGAAAAGUGGAUGUUCUUUGGAGGCAUUUAAAUGGAGAUUGGUUGACUUUUAGAGGUAGAGUAAUCUUGAGGAGGAUUAUUUUGGAGACGGACUUGACUUGCAAAAGGUGACACAUCCAUGUUUUGUCUCCAAAGUGGGAUUUGCGGAGAGUAACAACUUUGCCCACUCACGCAUGUCCAACAACUCUUCUUCUAACUUCUUUAUUUUCUGCGCAAAGUUUGAUACCAACUCAUCUGAAAGACAUUUUUUUCCAAUAGUUUUACGCAUAAUCCUAGCAUUAGUCGCUUUCACUUUUCCUUUGAAAUUCUCUGUCGAAAGAGAAGGAAGUAAACCCUUUGAUCGUGUGUGGUAAACCUACAGAUCAACCAUUGGGAAAGGGUAAAGAAAAUAAAAAAAAAAAAGAAAAGAAAAACAAAGUCCAAGUUAGAACAUUGCAUAAAUUGGGAUAUCAAACACAUUAUUUUAUGAUAAACGCCCUAAAUGCAAAGGAGUCUCGUUGAGCCAGAGGUAGGCCUAAGAGACACAUAAGUGAUGCACAAUAAUUCAUUCAAGCCUUAUUUUCCAAUUUUGAUUUUAGAUUAGAAGAAACAAAAUAACUUUCAUUUAUUAUAAAAUUCAAACAAUACAUCAUAACUAAACUAAAAUAAACUAAGGGAAAAGGGAUAACUUGGGGGAAAACAUCCUAAAUUCUGAAAUCUUGGAGGUAUUGACUCCAAGAGCUUGGCGCCAAUUGACCUCUUGUAAUGGGAGAGACUUCUUGUCUCAUGUUCAACACAUUCCGUGCCCAUAUGUUUUCCCUUUCAUCGGCAAGUCCAUGGUAUCCUUCUCCACUCGAUAAUGGGACUUCAGAUUUUAUCAAGAUCUAUAUGCGGUACUCAUGUGUCCCUAAAGCAUGUCGUGUGCCGAUAGGAAUGGUCAACACACGCUCCCAUAUUCUAAGUGUGUUGUGGACUUGUGGUUUAUCUAGUCCAAACUCAUACUUAAAUGUCUCCAUGUCAGAUCAGAGUGGUAUGAUUUGAGUUUGCUCAAAUUGGCAAAGUACUCGAAGAGGCGCAUAUGGUUGGACACCUUUUAAUCCAAUAAGAUCGAUGAAGUAUCAGUCUUCCCCUAUUACUAUGACAUUAGGCGUGGACAACCAAUGAAGCUUCCACUAAAUUCGGUGGCUCUCAAGCUCAAUCAGAAAUAUCUUCCAAUCCACAAAUCCUAUAGGCGCGACGAAACGUGUCAACCUUCUUGGAUGGUUAUCAAUCUUGUUUCCUUGACCAAGAUAGGUAUCUACAACGUUAGAUCUCUUAUGGAGUGAUCGAUAGCCAAUAGUUGAAGUAUAAGGUUGCAUCCCUGGAAGAACAUUCUAUCAUCAACACAUGCUGACAUACUCCUCAUUAUCUCCGCCAGGAUCAUGGGCACUAUGAUUUUCCUAGGCUCGCCCCCUCAUUGAUCUAGGUCUCGAACCAUGUACCUUAGACAUGUAUCGAUUUUUUCCCUUGAUUUAGGAAAAACCAAGGAUCCCAAUAAGACUAUGACAAAGGAAUCCAGACGAUACUUUUCCCAUUUUUCAAUAGAAUACUCAAAUUCAUAGUCAUUAAUGUAGUAACUAUCACUCGGCCUAAUCGUGAGUAUAAUAAGUCUAAAUGAGUCCACCCAAGGUCUAAAGAAGUCCAGGUUGGAUUAGACUUCAUCCCCAUACUUUUUAGAAAUUCCCUUGAUGAUGGCUUAUAAGGUACUAUCAUUUGACGCUCAUGGUAUGAAAGGUCGAUGAAACUGCUAAUUUCUUCAAUUGUUGGUGUCAAGUUGCAAUCUGUAAACUUGAACACCAUCCUCACCGGAUCCAAAAACUGUAGUAGCGCCCUAGUCAGAUGAGGGUUUGGUGUGACAAAUAUAAAAUAUGUAAGACCACCUAAUAAUUGAUGAAUAUCCCUUUCCUUGUCUCUCAUUAUAUCCAUCCACUAUGUUUUAAGUCUCUGAUUCACUUUUGUUACCAUUUGAGGGUUUGGGGUUUGAUUCUCAUUCAUGACUCUGCAAACAAAAUAACAAAGAACUUCUAAACUCAUUUUGACAACGUUGGCUUCAUUUAAUUAUUAUGAUCACGUUGACACAUAAAUAUGCAAUUUUGUCUAAAGGGUAUUGGGGCCCUUUAGACGAUAGGGUGGCUACUAAUUAUAUGGAUUGACACCAAGGGACAAACCACCUAGGGUUUAUGUAGCAUGUAUGACUUAACUAAGACUUUUAAGAGUUGGUUCGACACGGACUUCUAAGGGAUUCUAUGCGAGAGGCUCGUGGUUUUGCAGCAGUAAAACUAUCCGUUACGUACAUGCAUAUGCCGACUUUCUAUAAUGGGUAUUUGAAUAUAAUUAGAGUAGUAGUGAGAGGUGCAAAGACACAACAUCACGUGAAAAAAAAGGAAGAGGGUCCCAAUUAGGGGAAGUAUGAACGGAAUGUCAGUUAUCAAAGAGAUAAACACUUAGUAUUUAGAUUGCAAAGCGGUAACGUAUAGGCAGUUUAUAAAACAAUAAAUAAAUAAGCAUAAAUAAAUAAAGGAAAGUAAACAUAUAAGUAUAUUAAAAAUGAUGCAAAUAAGUAAAGAGGGUAUGGGAUUAAACAUGUAAGUAAACAAAUAAAGGAAAAGGGGAAAGGUGAAACAUGGUAAUAAAUAAUUAAGGAAGAGGGAAGAGGUAGAACAUAAAAAGAAGACGGCAAAUAAGGCAACAAAAUAAACUACACAUGAUAAGCACUUAACAAAUAAUAAGAUGACCAAAUAAAGUAAACCCCACAUAAAUAAACAUGACAUACGUAAUUGUAAGAACCUAGUAUCCACGGUGGAGUCGUCAUUCUAUCGCACUCUAUUUUUUUCAGUAAAAAAUGGGUUUUGUGCACGACCUAACAACUCUUUUGGAACUUUGAGUUUAAGGAGUCGCCACCUAAUGAAUUAAGGCGCGUUAGGGCACCUAUAUAAUCUAACUAGUCUAACUAAGGUCAACGAAUAAGAGAAUGACUAAGGGUUCAAAUUAACUAGAGGGGAAGUGUUAGGCAUCCCUCGAGGUCCACAAAUAUGGAUCCCGACCGUAUCUCAUGCAAUUUAUGUGGGGGUUACAAGUAGAAAAUAAGGUCACUCAUUUAUUAGUUAAUUAACUAACAUGCUCUCUAAGUGCCAACAUAAUAUUAAAUGAUAAAGAUUAAUUUAUUAUUAAUUAAACAUGUGAAGCCUAGGUGAUAAGAAAUAUAAAACAAAUGAGAUCAUUUUAUUAUUUUGACCGAUUAAUUAAUAAAGGCUACGUGAUAGCAAAUAUUAACGAUUAAAAUUAUCUAACAUCUGAGACUAGGUGAUAUAACAACAAGUUGAAUCAAAUAGCUAAUUAUUAUCUUAAUUAUUAUUUAAACAUGUGAGUCUAAGUGAUAACAAUAUAAUAGAUAUAUCAAACAAUUAAUAAAGCGAUAAGCGAGAGGAUAGAAAAGAGACAAAAAAAUAAGCAAACAAUUUUAUUAUUUUUAUUUUAAUCUUCCCCAAAAAAUAUAAUUUAAAACAAACAAGUAAAGGAAUAAAAGGAAGGGAGACUCUAAGAGACUUUUUGGAUCAAUACUCGACUUUUCUUUUUAUUUUCCGAUAGGCUGCCGUAUAGGGACACACAAAACUAAGGUUUGUCUUUCAAGCCUGAGUCGAAGUCAUCAUCUCCAUAGGGACAACUACCCCUACCCCACCACCACAUGCAUUUCGUAUCUAAAAGGUGUCUAAUCGUCCCAACUAGAUUGUCCAAGAGUCAUUGGACUCUUAAAGGGUGGGUUUAGACAAAAUAGAAUAUAAGACCCUCCUAGACAUCAAGUCAAACAAACAAGACAUACAGGACGGUCAUUUUAGCACAAGGUUUCCAUUUGGCCUUUAAAUUUUAAAUAGACAUACUUGCAAACAAUACAUAAUUGUGAGAGAUCUCAUGUUAAGUGUGUAAGCAUACAAUGUUAUAAUAACAAAACAAAGAUUAAUUAUGAAGACGAAAUAUGACAUGGGUGUAGAUUUUAAUGUUGAACUAAUUUUAAAGUGAACAAUGAUUAGUGACAUAAUAGAUUUUAUUUUAUUUUCAGGUAGCAAAGGAUGUGAUCACACAUGCACAUAUAUUUUAGAAUAGCAGAAAUAUUCACUAUCAAUGCAAAAAUAUAACAUAGGACAGCAGAUUUAUUAUUUAUUUGGGCAAAAAUUUAUUUAAAGAACAAUAGAUUGCAGAAAACUUUUCUAAGUAAGUGACUAGUUAUUUUAAUGCAGAAAAAUGUUGUUUAGAACACUUGUCAGAUUUACAAAUUGGUUAUUAAUGUUUAAAAAAAAAUAUUAUUUAUGCAAAAAAUAAUUACUAUGCAUUUAGAAAGCAAUAUAUUUAUUGCAAAAAUGUUUCUUAGACUGUUAUAUUAUUAUAUGCAACAAAAAAUUAUUAAAACAGUAGCAGAUUUUUAUUUAAUGCAGAAAAUUGUUUAAGAGGUAGUUGUUUUAUUAGAUGCAAUAAAUCAAUAAAGUAUAUUUGUUUGAAAUGACGGAAAAUAUGCAAAAUGAAUUUUUUCCAAUUAUUAUGCUAAAAAAUUACAAGUCUAUUGGUAUGAUUUUCAGGUGUUUAAUAUACUUAAAAUGACAAAGUAAUAAGAAAUAAUGCAAAAAAAAAUUAGUUAAUACUCCCUAUAAACAUGAUUCCUAGGUGAUUUAAUAAUCAACACAUUUAAAUAACACUUAUAUGCAUAAUUUCUAACUCCGAAUGACAUAUGAAUGCAUACAUUCUAUAGACAUAAUUUAUUCGAUGAAUAAAUUUAUACAAAAUGCACAUAAAAUUUUUUUUCUUAACAUUUUCAGAAAUUAGCCAAAACUCAUUACUUAAUAUGCCAAAUUGAAUAAAAAUAUGAUUUAAAUCAUUAAUUGGGAAAAAACUCAAUGAUUGAGCGAAGAUGAUUUGCUUUAUAUUUUUUAUGGUUAGAUCUAAAAAUACUUUAUCACAUAAAAAUUUUAUCAAAAUCAAAUUACGAACCUAUAGGCAUGCUUUUCUAACACAAAUAAGUUUGCAAAUAAAGAGGCGAUUACUGCAUAAUUUCCCUCCCCUUAGGCGAUCCACCCCAAAUUUAUUUUAUAUAUAUAGGUAGGGUUGGAGAAUUAUACUCACUGUAACAAAAAUAACGAAUGAAAAUAUACAAAACAUUAAAAUAAACAAAGCUUCGUCCGAAAUUUCUUCUAGGGCACUCUUCAUCAUCUUGAACUCUAAGUUCAUAACCUUCUAGAAUAGGUAAGGUAACACAUAUACAAUGGAGAAAUAAUGGUAAUAUAGUAGACUCAUAGUAGCCAAUUACUCUCAUAUAUAUGUGUAAAUAACACACGAAAUGAAAUAAAGAAUAACCAUAGUUCUAUUAUCAAAUGUAACAGCAUAAUGAAACUAACUUAGAUGCUUCCUUGUUGUUUCGUUUUUCAACACACAAAUAUUUAUAAUUAUGAAAAAAAUCAAAUUAAAAUUAAUAAAUAGGGCUAACCAAUUAUGCAUAAAAUAUUACCAAUAAUAGAGACAGAGUAAUCCCAACACAACAAAGUAGCAAAAGCAUUUGAAUAUUUGCUGGAACCUUAACUUAUUUUUAAGAGUAGAACAAUAUUAAUAGUAUUCAAGUAUGAGAGUGAGUUAAGAAAAAGGUACCACUUGUAUUAGAAGAAUGAGUGAUGAGUUGAGAGAAAGAAUGUGUGUAUGUGCAAUGAGAGAAUGAGAGAACUUUUAGCAAGAGUUAGUGUUGAAAGUGAGAGGAGCGGGUCUUAUUUAUAUAGUAAAGAGGGGGAGCACAUAAGGAAGAUAAAUAAAUUAAGGAGUAAAUUAUUAAACUAUUUUCUUAUUUUCGAGGAGAGCCAAAACAGAAAAAUAAUUUAAUUAUUUUUUAUCAAAUAUAAGCAAGUAAGAAUAAAUUAAAAGAGAGUAAUAUUUAUUUUCAUUAAAUCAGUAGGAGCCAAAAUCAGUUUUUUUUUAAAAAAAAUAUACCAUAACUAAAAAUAAUUAAUUGAAGAAGUAAAAUUAGGAACAAAAAAUAUUUUUCUUAAAUAAAGAAGAGUCAAAAAUUAGAUUUUAUUUUACUUAUUUUUUUAUAAAAAAGAAGUAAGAGAUCAAUCACUUUUUAAGUAAGGAAAAAUGAUCAAUUAAUAUAUUUUACUUAAAUUAUAGCAUUGAAUCAUAUUUUUUAAAAAAAUAUAUAUUUUACCAAAAUUAAUCAAGGAAGAGAAACAUUUUUCUUAGAUAAAGAAGGACCGAAACUAGAAUUGAUUUAAGACAAUUUUCCAAAUAUUAAGCAAGUAGCAAAUUGGUUUAAGUUCUAAUUAACCAAAGGAAUCAAAUAAGGCUUAAAAGAAGAGAUAAAUUGGGAUCCACUAGUAUAUCCUUAACAAAUUUACAGUGAAGUCAAUCAAAAUUUACCUUAUAAUCAUCUUAACUAAGGAAACAAUCAGUUCACGGCUUAACAAGAUUAAAGGGACCAAACAUUAGUUCAUCAUUCCUUACUAUGAAUGUAGCACCCUAACAUGGGUAUAUUACAACUAACUUCCACAAAUCAAUGACUUAGAGCAGUUUAUUACAAAAUUAAGCUAGCAAAAUGACUAACUUUAACAGGCAUAUUCACCACCAAAUUUGACAAAGGAAAGCAAUUUCAUAUUAGAACACAUAGAGAAUCAAUGAGCCACGAAUCUUCAAUCGCAACAGUUUAAUCUCAAGCAAACCUAAAAUUUAUUUGUUCUAGAGGUUUAAACCCGGAAAACAACAGUAAUCACAAACGUUGACAAACACUAUGAUCUAAAAUCAGGAGUCGAAACCCACAUUUUCAUGUAAUAUACUCUAAGAAAGCAACAGGACAAACAAUAGAGAAUUUAAUAGUCGCAUUAAAGAACGGAAAAAAACUUGCUCGACGGAUCUGAAAAGAUCUAUUUAUUAAAAAUUGAUUGAUGAUCUCGGCAAACUGUAGGCAAGUCGGUAAUUGCUAUAAUCAUCACUUGUUGGAGUUGUUGUUGUCGCCUUCGCCGGAGCUGUUGGUGGCCAUGGAACUCUGCCGGAGUUGCGGCUGCUGCUAGUUUUAAAGAGGAGAGGAAGAGAAUAGCGACGAGGAAGACGAGAGCGAGAAGGGAAGAAGGGAAAAAAAGGGAGACGAAAGGGACUAAAGAAGAGGGAGGGUGGUGCUGGAGAAAGGGGAGGCAACUUGCUGGUCGGAAAAAGGGAGAGAGAGAGGAGGAGCGAUGGGAGAGGGGAGAAGAAGAGAGGGGGAGAAAGCGGAGGUGGCUGGAGAGAGGGCAAAGGGGAGAGGCGAUUUUAGCUGGAAAGAAUAGAGGGGGAGGCUGCCAGAGAGGGGAGGGAGCACAGAAUGAAAACUUUUUUAGGGAUUAGAAUCUUUUAUUUAGAAUAGGUAGGUUAAAUCUGAACCAUAGGAUUAGUUUAGAU